rnacentral:rRNA from 1 species
GACGUAGGGGGCGAGCGUUAUCCGGAAUUACUGGGCGUAAAGCGCACGCAGGCGGUCUGUUAAGUUCAGAGUGACAGUCACCAGCUUAACUGGCGAAGUACUUUGAAAACUGGCAGACUUGAGAACGAGAGAGGACCUGGAAGCUCCGGGUGGAGCGGUGAAAUGCGUAGAGAUCCGGAAGAACACCAAAGGCGAAAGGCAGGGUUCUGGCUCGUUUCUGACGCUAAGGUGCGAAAGCCAGGGGAGCGAACGGG